rnacentral:misc_RNA from 1 species
AAGUCGUAACAAGGUCUCCGUAGGUGAACCUGCGGAGGGAUCAUUAACACGUUUCUUAAAACGUUUUCCACACCAACCAGUUGAACUUAAUGAAUAUUUUAUAACCCAUCGACCUGAUGGGAAAAAGUAAUCCUUUUAGUUUCUAUUGUGCUUGUGGAUGAGUAAAUCUUCGCGAAGAUUUGCGGUGCAAUAGAGGCGCAGUGCAAACAUUUAUUUAUUUAUUUGUUUGUGUGGAGGGAGAACUUUUCCCACUAUAUCAGGCUAAUAUUACAAAAUCCAAUAGUUCUUUCAUCACGGAGCUGGAUUUUGUAAUGAUUUUUAACCAAUUUCACCCAUUUUUACAUCUGUCCGAUAUAUAUGAUUGUAAAAGAAAUUUUACAAUCAACCAAAACUAAAUAUCUAAAAGCACAACUCUUAGCAAUGGAUAUCUAGGUUCUC